GGCAGUGUAGCCUAGUGGUAAAGUGCUGGACCGUCAAUCGGAAGGUCGUGGGCUCGAACCCCACCACGGGCA
rnacentral:tRNA from 1 species